GUAUUUAUUAGAUAAAAAACCAAUGCCCUUCGGGGCUCCUUGGUGAAUCAUAAUAACUUAACGAAUCGCAUGGCCUUGCGCCGGCGAUGGUUCAUUCAAAUUUCUGCCCUAUCAACUUCGAUGGUAGGAUAGUGGCCUACCAUGGUAUCAACGGGUAACGGGGAAUUAGGGUUCGACUCCGGAGAGGGAGCCUGAGAAACGGCUACCACAUCCAAGGAAGGCAGCAGGCGCGCAAAUUACCCAAUCCCGACACGGGGAGGUAGUGACAAUAAAUACUGAUACAGGGCUCUUUUGGGUCUUGUAAUUGGAAUGAGUACAAUUUAAAUCCCUUAACGAGGAACAAUUGGAGGGCAAGUCUGGUGCCAGCAGCCGCGGUAAUUCCAGCUCCAAUAGCGUAUAUUAAAGUUGUUGCAGUUAAAAAGCUCGUAGUUGAACCUUGGGCCUGGCUGGCCGGUCCGCCUCACCGCGUGUACUGGUCCGGCCGGGCCUUUCCUUCUGGGGAACCUCAUGCCCUUCACUGGGCGUGUUGGGGAACCAGGACUUUUACUUUGAAAAAAUUAGAGUGUUCAAAGCAGG
rnacentral:rRNA from 1 species